GUCUGAUGAACAGCUUUUUGAGACUCUAGAGCACAGCCAGGUUCAGUUGCAGACUCUUCUUCAAAGUAAGCAUGUGGAGUACUUCAUGGACCAAGUCCUGAGCUGGCAAAACAAGCUAAACACAGCCGACGUGGUCAUCUUCACUUGGAUGGAUGUCCAGCGGACCUGGGCUCACCUUGAGAGCAUCUUCCUUUCUUCAGAAGAUAUUCGAAUGCAGCUCGUGGAGGAUGCCAGAAGAUUCGACGGGGUAGAUGCCGAAUUUAAGGAGUUAAUGUUCAAGACAGCCGAGAA